GUUUCAUAGUUUAUUUAGAAUAAAGGAUUGCAAGUCCUUAGAUGUGCUUAUGCGCUGGGACUUU
rnacentral:tRNA from 1 species